UAUCUGAGGAGGAAAAAAGAGAAGGGCAUAAAAAUUAUAUUCUCAUCUCAACAAAAACAGAAAAAUAUAUUUUAUCACAAGGAUUGAGGAUAAUGGAUGCUCCAGGCCUACAAAAUAUGGCUUAUUUUGACCAUGUACACCGCAGGCAUCAAGAGAGAGGCUUCCUCUAUGCCUGUUUUUUCGCAAUGUGUUGCUGCUUCUGCUGUUUUGAAACUUGUGAGUGCUGUCUGGAUGUUCUAUGUUGUAACUGUGUCUAAGUUACUGUUUGUGUGUUGAGGAUAUUUCAAUAAUUGUGAGACUGGACUCUUUCUGAAGUUAUAUUUGGAGAAAGAGACCAGUCUUCUAACUGGAAGUGUGUCAUUUAUGUUUUAUUAAGUUUGUACCAAAUAAAGAAACAAUGACAAUAAUUUAAACUAUUCAAUAUUUCCAUA